GGAGAGGUGACAGAGUGGCCGAAUGUGCAUGAUUGGAAAUCAUGUGUACCGCAAGGUACCGGGGGUUCGAAUCCCUCCCUCUCCGCCA
rnacentral:tRNA from 1 species